rnacentral:rRNA from 1 species
UGGGCAACCUGCCCCAGACUCUGGGAUAACUCCGGGAAACCGGGGCUAAUACCGGAUACUCCGAUCGGACGACAUCGUCUGACCGGGAAAGCUCCGACGGUCUGGGAUGGGCCCGCGGCCUAUCAGCUUGUUGGUGAGGUAACGGCUCACCAAGGCUUCGACGGGUAGCCGGCCUGAGAGGGCGACCGGCCACACUGGGACUGAGAUACGGCCCAGACUCCUACGGGAG